rnacentral:pre_miRNA from 1 species
AGAGGAAUAACUGGGUCAAAUUGUUGUUCCAUUCCCAGUUUUCUAAGGAAUUCCAUACUGCUUUCCAGAGUGGUUGCACCAAUUUUCAGUCCCACCAGCAAU